rnacentral:siRNA from 1 species
GGCCGGCGAUGCGUCCUGGU